rnacentral:tRNA from 1 species
ACUUGAAUAGCUUAUAAAAUAGAGCAUAACAUUGAAGAUGUUAAGGAAGUUAAUUUAAUUUUUAAGUA